rnacentral:rRNA from 1 species
UUCCAGACUCCUACGGGAGGCAGCAGUGGGGAAUAUUGCACAAUGGGGGAAACCCUGAUGCAGCGACGCCGCGUGAGUGAAGAAGCGUUUCGGCGCGUAAAGCUCUGUCAGCGGGGAAGAAACACGGUUCGCGAGAGCCGCGGACGGUACCCGACCAAGAAGCCCCGGCUAACUACGUGCCAGCAGCCGCGGUAAUACGUAGGGGGCAAGCGUUAUCCGGAUUUACUGGGUGUAAAGGGAGCGUAGACGGCAGCACAAGUCUGGAGUGAAAUGCCGGGGCUUAACCCCGGAACUGCUUUGGAAACUGUGCAGCUAGAGUGCAGGAGAGGUAAGUGGAAUUCCUAGUGUAGCGGUGAAAUGCGUAGAUAUUAGGAGGAACACCAGUGGCGAAGGCGGCUUACUGGACUGUAACUGACGUUGAGGCUCGAAAGCGUGGGGAGCAAACAGGAUUAGAUACCCUGGUACA